AUUGAACGCUGGCGGCAGGCCUAACACAUGCAAGUCGAGCGGAGCGGCGAACGGGUGAGUAACGCGUGAGUAACUGCCCCCCUCUCUGGGAUAACAGUUGGAAACGACUGCUCAUACCGGAUAGUGGGGGAUGACUCGGGUCCUAUCAGCUUGUUGGUGGGGUAGUGGCCUACCAAGGCGACGACGGGUAGCCGGCCUGAGAGGGCGACACGCCACAGUGGGCUGAGCGACGACCCAAACGCCUACUGGAGGCAGCGGGGGGGAACAUUGCACAAUGGGGGAAAUCCUGAUGGAGCACCGCCGCGUGCGGGAUGACGGCCUUCCGGUUGUAAACCGCUUUCAGCCAUGACGCGGUACUGGCAGAAGAAGCACCGGCUAACUACGUGCCAGCAGCCGCGGUAAUUC
rnacentral:rRNA from 1 species